UACGGGGGGAGCAAGCGUUGUUCGGAUUUACUGGGCGUAAAGGGCGCGUAGGCGGCCACCGCAAGUCAAUUGUGAAAUCUCCAGGCUUAACUCGGAAAGGUCAACUGAUACUGCGGGGCUAGAGUGCGGAAGGGGCAACUGGAAUUCUCGGUGUAGCGGUGAAAUGCGUAGAUAUCGAGAGGAACACCUGCGGCGAAGGCGGGUUGCUGGGCCGACACUGACGCUGAGGCGCGAAAGCCAGGGGAGCGAACGGG
rnacentral:rRNA from 1 species